rnacentral:rRNA from 1 species
GCAGAGCACUCCUACGGGAGGCAGCAGUGGGGAAUAUUGGACAAUGGGCGAAAGCCUGAUCCAGCCAUGCCGCGUGUGUGAAGAAGGUCUUCGGAUUGUAAAGCACUUUAAGUGGGAGGAAGGGUUGUAGAUUAAUACUCUGCAAUUUUGACGUUACCGACAGAAUAAGCACCGGCUAACUCUGUGCCAGCAGCCGCGGUAAUACAGAGGGUGCAAGCGUUAAUCGGAAUUACUGGGCGUAAAGCGACGCGUAGGUGGUUCGUUAAGUUGGAUGUGAAAUCCCCGGGCUCAACCUGGGAACUGCAUUCAAAACUGUCGAGCUAGAGUAUGGUAGAGGGUGGUGGGAAUUUCCUGUGUAGCGGUGAAAUAGCGUAGAUAUAGGAAGGAACACCAGUGGCGAAGGCGACCACCUCGGACUGAUACUGACACUGAGGUGCGAAAGACGUGGGGAGGCAAACAGGAUUAGAUACCCUCGGUAG